GACAGAGGGUGCAAACGUUGUUCGGAAUUACUGGGCGUAAAGCGAGUGUAGGCGGUUUGGUAAGUCGGAUGUGAAAGCCCCGGGCUCAACCCGGGAAGUGCACUCGAUACUGCCAAGCUAGAGUAUCGGAGAGGUUGGUGGAAUUCUCGGUGUAGAGGUGAAAUUCGUAGAUAUUGGGAAGAACACCGGUGGCGAAGGCGGCUCACUGGUCCGAUACUGACGUUUGAGGUGCGGAAAAGCGUGGGGGAGCAAACAGG
rnacentral:rRNA from 1 species